UGAAGAUCAAACAAAAGAAAGAUAGAACCAGAACCAUAAGGAAUCAGUGUUCACAAAUUACCUUCCUGCAACAUCAAAGGAAAUAAAAUAUCAAGAAAAUAUGCAUUCGAAAGCGAAGGAGUUAUUGAAAACUAAAAUAUUUUAAAAGAGUAAUCAAAACUUGAGAUCUCUAGCCUUGAUCAAAGUUCAACAUUUUUUUGAUUUUGACAAACCAUGCUGCAGAACAACAGGUUCACUUCAAUUUGAGUGCAUGGUAUUCAAAGCCCAAAAAUAAAAAUAUUAAAGAACGAAUGAUCGAGGAAAUUUGAUUAUGCAUCUGUAACUAUUAUCGUUCUUAUUCAUUAUAAUCCAAAAUUGUUCGAGAUAUCCAGAAAUUAGCUCGCUGCAAAAUGGAUAAAUGGAUAUUUUGAUAUUCUUUUAUUUUCAAUAGUUUGACAAGUUAUAUCAGAAAAACUACAUGGAAACAAAAAGAAUUUACUAGAGAUCACCAAAUUAAAACUUUACGUUCCAUGUUCUUGUCCAUUUUAUCAAGGCAUUCCAUCGAAACUUCAUAGUCCACUGCAAAAUGGAUAAACACAUCUCUCGAUUAUCAAACAGAGAAUUAUAUCAAAAAAUUAUCCAAAACAAAAUAUUGAUGAGUAAAAGCACAGUCAAGAGAAGUUUGAUUGUGUGAA
rnacentral:lncRNA from 1 species